rnacentral:lncRNA from 1 species
UAAUAUGGGGACGGAGUCCCCAAUAACAGUAGAAAAUUCAAUAAAAAAAAAUACGGGAAAAUUUCCCGAAUUUUUCAUUGUACUAAUGAACUCAAAAUCGUUCAAUUUUUUUUUUGUCGUGUUUUGAAAUCCCGGACCUGUGCAGAAAUGUACAAUGUACUUCCUUUUUCCGGUCUCGUUUGUAUGAAACUUUGAGUAAAAUAUAUAUUUAUCAGUCUAGUAUAAAAUAGGAAGGAACGCGCAAUACCAAUUUCAUUUUUAAUAAUUCCUUGAUAUGAAAAAACGUUACCUGAUGAUAGCGUUUCUUUGUUUACAUUGCAUAUGACGUCAUAAUUUAAAUAACGUCACAACUAAAUCUCUAACAACAGAACCAAAAUCGGAAACGUUACGGUAUUUCCGUUUCUUUUUUUUUUAAACAAAUAUUUAAGUUACAAAAAAAUAAUUCAUACAGACUUCGUCCCCAUUUACAGGUAAUGCCUGCCUCAUAUUAUU